UACGAAGGGUGCAAGCGUUACUCGGAAUUACUGGGCGUAAAGCGUGCGUAGGUGGUUUGUUAAGUCUGUUGUGAAAGCCCCGGGCUCAACCUGGGAAUGGCAAUGGAUACUGGCAAGCUAGAGUGCGGUAGAGGGUAGUGGAAUUCCCGGUGUAGCGGUGAAAUGCGUAGAGAUCGGGAGGAACACCGGUGGCGAAGGCGGCCUGCUGGGCAGUGGCUGACACUGAGGCGCGACAGCGUGGGGAGCAAACAGG
rnacentral:rRNA from 1 species